UACGGAGGAUGCAAGCGUUAUCCGGAAUUAUUGGGCGUAAAGCGUCCGUAGGUGGCUUUACAAGUCAGCUGUUAAAGCGUGGAGCUUAACUCCAUAAAGGCAGUUGAAACUGUGAGGCUAGAGUGCGGUAGGGGUAAGGGGAAUUCCCAGUGUAGCAGUGAAAUGCGUAGAUAUUGGGAAGAACACCGGUGGCGAAAGCGCCUUGCUGGACCUGCACUGACACUGAGGGACGAAAGCUAGGGGAGCGAAAGGG
rnacentral:rRNA from 1 species